GGGUGGGUCCGGCGCGGCGAAGCUCUGUGAACCCUGUCAGGUCCGAAAGGAAGCAGCAGUAAGCGGAUGUCUCCGGGUGCCGCCGGGUCGCCUGCCCGGA
rnacentral:SRP_RNA from 1 species